rnacentral:rRNA from 1 species
UACGAAGGGGGCUAGCGUUGUUCGGAAUCACUGGGCGUAAAGGCGCGUAGGCGGCCGAUUAAGUCGGGGGUGAAAGCCUGUGGCUCAACCACAGAAUUGCCUUCGAUACUGAUUGGCUUGAGACCGGAAGAGGUCAGUGGAACUGCGAGUGUAGAGGUGAAAUUCGUAGAUAUUCGCAAGAACACCAGUGGCGAAGGCGGCUGACUGGUCCGGUUCUGACGCUGAGGCGCGAAAGCGUGGGGAGCAAACAGG